CAGCAGCCGCGGUAACACGUAGGGUGCGAGCGUUAAUCGGAAUUACUGGGCGUAAAGCGUGCGCAGGCGGUUGUGUAAGACAGGUGUGAAAUCCCCGGGCUUAACCUGAGAACUGCGCUUGUGACUGCACAGCUAGAGUAUGGCAGAGGGGUGUGGAAUUCUACGUGUAGCAGUGAAAUGCGUAGAGAUGUGGAGGAACACCGAUGGCGAAGGCAGCCCCCUGGGCCAAUACUGACGCUCAUGCACGAAAGCGUGGGGAGCAAACAGGAUUAGAUACCCCGGUAGUCCCUGUCUCUUAUAC
rnacentral:rRNA from 1 species